UUGGUGGCAUCAAUCUAUUUUGGAGAAGAUGAUUGGCAAUGAAGAAACUCCACAUGGAGUUUACUUUCUUUGUGGCAAAAGUAAGCCACUGGGCAAGAAAGUGCUCUUGCCUUGACUGCUGACAGUGUGCUCUCCAAAUUGGACAAGCAGGACAUAAAAGAAAGGAUGGCAAAACAUUGCCAAAACAAGAUUUUAAGAACCAGGGAAAAGUUUAGGCUCUGAAAAAGACCUUCAACAACAGGAUCCACAGACCACUGGAAGCACAAGUUACCCCAGAUUAGGAAAACAAUGUUACAAGACUGAAUUCUUCCUUGCAAGGAGACAAGACCACAGGAAAAACCUUUAACCAGGUGUGCUUUACCUCCUUUGCCAUCAGAAUUUGUUACCAAAGACACCCAGGAGCCAGUUAUUUGGAUGGCAUACAGAUUGCGGCAUUUGGAAGACAUAGGGACAUACACUCAGAACACUGGCUUCUAGGGAUUUUGUUGUAGGAUACUGACCUGCCACAAAUACUUCUUACGUGGUUUUACUAAUAUCAAGACAAUUGUAUACACAAUGAAAUGAAAAUGGGUUACC